rnacentral:tRNA from 1 species
GCCCUUGUCGUUCAAUGGACAGGACACGGCCCUGCGAAGGCUGAAAUGCAGGUUCGAUUCCUGCCGAGGGCACCA